UGCACAGGAAAAGGACAAGCCAGGCCCAAAGUCCGCCCAGCCAUCGCAUGUGUUAGUCCCUUCACUACCUGGUUUGGGGUGCAGCAAAAGACCCAUCCCCUUCCCCAUAAAUCAUACUUCCUGCUUGACUGAAUACCAAGCCAUUCCUUAAAAAUACAGAAGCAACGGCUGUUUUUCACAUGAAACUUUCUGGGGUAUAUUUUCUGAAAUGUAGGAAGCAAUCUUUCAUUCACUGGAAACACUUCACUAUGCUGCUCUGAAAAACUAAUCAGACGAACGAAACCCACUAUGUAUAAAACAACUGUGGAGAUUUGAACACUUACAAUAUUAAGGAAUUAUCAUCAGAGCUGGGAGUGGUGGCACAUGCCUAGAAUGCCAGCACUCUGGCAGGCUGAGGCAGGCUUGAGUUUGAGCACAGCUCUGGCAACCUAGCGACUUCGUGAGACCUGUCUCAAAAUAAGGACUGGGCAUGCAGCUCAGUACAAAGGCUUUGAGUUCAAUCUCCAGUACCUAGCUACAUACAUACAUACAUACAUACAUAUAUACAUCAGUACAUGGUUACAAGGAGUUAUAUGCUUAUGUUUGUAAGGAGUCUUAAUUACUCUCAAUAAAGAGAAUGAUACACUGCAAUAAAAACUACUUAUUUCUGCAAUUAUCUGAAUUAAUCUCACAAACAUUCCCUUGAGUGAAAACAACCAGUCAUAAAAUACUUUCUACAUGUAUCAAUUUAUACAAAGGCAAAACUAGUCUUUUUCAUAAGCUUUACUGCUUAUAGGUGAUGAAAUAUAUAUUAUAUUAUAUAUAUAUAUUAUGUAUAAUAUAUAUAUAUAUAUGAGAAAUAAUAUAAUGCCUACGAUUUGCUUCAGAAGAACUCAGUGGGAAAGCAAAGGGGAAGUUAGGAGCUGUUAUUAGGAGCUGCAGUAUUCACGACAGUUCCAUAAUAACAACUCAGCUAAAGUAUCUAAACUGUUAAUAAAAAUAAAUUGUUAUGUGUUUUGUUGUUCAAAAACACUGAGCUCAAGAUUCAAAACUGAUGCUUCUAUGGCAUAAUUUGGGUCCUUAAGCAAAGGCUAAAGAAUUAAAAAUGUGACUUAGGUUCACGGUGGAACCUAACCAAAGACAGAUUAGUAACCAGUCAGAUUAAGGACCUGUCAGAUUGAAGAUUAAUGAGAGAAAAGUAUAUAAAUCCAUUGAAAAUAAGCUUCACCCAUGUAGAAGCCUUCCCAAGAGAAUUCAGAGCUGAGAAAGUCGCAGCAGAGGGCUUGUGAGCUAGGGCUGAUGAGGAGGGGAGUCGAGAACCCACAGAAGAGUGUGACCUGCGGUGCUGAGCUGAGGGGACCCGGCAGGGCCAGGGUGCGCAGACCCUCCUCUGUGCCGCUGCAUCCUCGGGGCUGAAGAUGCCCCUUUCCUUCGAGCAGAGGGAGGGCACCUGUCACCCGAGGAUCUGUCACGGGCAGAGGGCAGGGUCAGGAAGAUCCUCCUAGGUUUGAUCCCCUGGUUCGGGUAUCAGAAGGGUGAGAGUGACCUUCCCACUUUGGCGUUUUCUCAAAGCCUUCACUUCACCUCUCUGCACUGUUUCCAGCACAGCUGAUCUUCUCAGUCACUGUCCAGUGGACUCAGAGAAGUUGGAGGACUACGCAGGUGCAGACACAAAGCCCGGCUUCAUCUCCAGCGCUGGAGAAGGAGACUGUCCAUUACGCAGUAGCGCCCUGUGCUCUCCUACGUCACUUGGACAGAGCCCGGGGAGGGUGACUUCCUAGGGUGUCCACACUGGAACGAACCCUUUACUUUCAAGGGCUUUGUGGUCUCCGGUCCAGGACCCCACCACGGUGAAGGAGACCCAGAAAAGGCUUUGUGACGAAGCAGUGCCCAGGCAGCCAUGUUCAGAAGUCCCUGGGCAGCAGGGGCAGCCCCGGCAGGACUCCAGGAUCACAGUGGGGAGUUUUCCGGGACAGUGAGUUAAAACUGAAGGGAUCGCUGGUGAAGAGCAGGAAGGCUUGGGACCCACACCUUCAGCAGACUUCAUUGUUGAGACAGAAGGAACCACAGAGGGAGUUUGAGCAGGUGAGUGAAAUGAUCAGACUUUUAUUUUAAAAUGAUCGUAUCGGUUCCACUGCUUGGAUGGAACAGAUGGGGCACUAUUCAGAGAAGCAGGCUGUCCGGAAUGGUUGGCAGAGCUGAGGAAGGUGCUGGUGUGCGCCAGUGGGACAGCAGAAAGGGCAGAUUUGCGGGCCAGGCAGGAAACAGUUUCACAGCCUCGGGACAAAGGAUCAAAGUACAAGUGGAAGAGACACUGGCAAAUACCAAACUAUGCAACAGUGCAGGGCUAAAGUUCAAAAUGAUAGCGGACCUUUCUGGUUGGCUGUAAGUGUUGCAGAAAGGGUUCACACUGUCCCUGGGGGGCUGGGAGCCAGUCGACCAGACAAGGGAGGGUCAGGCCUCUCCGCGUUUCAAAGGACAGCAAGGCAGGUCCAUGUGACCCCACGAGAGGCCUUCCGGCCCCCGCAGGUUUGUUUAUGAAGCUGAAUCAGCCCACUGUGUGGCAGGAUGACAGAAAACACGGAUGGGCACGAGGAGAAGGGGAAAAGCAGGACUGGUUUACGAUCAGGCUGUGCGUCACCCCAACGGGGGCUACCACAGAGCGUCACGCUCCGCACGGAGAGGACCGUGGAGGAAGCGUAGGCAGGCUGUGGGAAAGCAGCCCCAGGACACCUCCCCUCAGCCGCACAUAGAGGAGAUGAUUUUCAAAGAGAGCGGAAGCCAACAAAGAUAAAAGGCUUCAAAACUGAAAUAUAAACACAAACCAUGCCAGAAAAGGCAUGAGAAGAAAGACACCCUCCUGGGAGACACAGGCCACCCCAGGAGCUGCAGGCAGGGGAGGGAGCUAGCACAGCCGGGCCUCCAGCCACCGAAGGGUCCUCAGAGUGUUCAUGGUCAUCCUCUGGUAGGAGCCAAGGCUUCAAAGGCCUUGCAAAAAAUACUUAUUUACAGUGGUUAAGAUAUGGGAACAGUGUGUUGACAAAAGAAUGGACACAGAAAAUGUGGUACAUAAGCAUAGAAUACUUAGGUACGUAGAAUACAUAGAAUACAUAGGUACAUAGAAUACUAUUCAGCCGUAACAAAGAAUGAAUUCCUGCCAUCUAGGACAACAUGGACGAAUCUGGAUGACACCGUGUGCCAGACAGACACUAUAUAUCACACUUACAUAUGGACCCUAAAUCAGCCAAACUCACAGAAGCAGAGUGUAACGGUAUUUUCCUGGGGCUGGGAGGGGAAGGGGAGAUGUCGGGCAAAGGAUACAGAGUUUCCGUUAUGAGCAGCUUCUGGGGGUCUAGCAUGCAGACUGGUGAUAACAGUUAAUAAAACUAUGUUGUCAGCCAGGACUUGGAUUCCAAUUACCCAACAACAGAAGAAUAAAUUGUGAAACUAUGGCUACAUCUCCAUAAUGGAAUACUACUCAGCCAUUCAUAAGAAUGAAAUCUUAUCAUUUGAGACAACAUGGUUAAGCUUGGAAAACAUUAUGCUGAAUGAAAUACACCAGACAGAGAAACACACUGGACACACAAAUAUUACAAGUCCUCCUUCAUAGGCGGCAUCUGAAAUCUGACCUCAUACAAAGACCGGAGCAGUGGUUCCCAGAGACUUGGAAAGGGUUGAGUAGAGGGAGGUAAAUGGAUAAAAGGUCACAGUUAGGAGGACUAAGCCCUGGUGUUCCAUGCACAAAUGGUGACUACAGUUAACAAUAGAAUGCCAGAUAUCCCAAUGCUCUCACCAUAAAAUGGUAAAUGUACAAGGCGAUGGGUAUGUUAAGUACCCUUGAUUUGAUCAAUGUUCAAAGUAUACGCAUUCUGAGACAAAUUGUAUGUACAGUUAAGAACUAAAAAUACUAUCUUACGUAGCUUGUUUGCUAAGGGCAUAGAUUCUCAGUGUUCUCUUACACAGCUCGCAGAUGGUAACUAAGUGAAGGCAGGAUGUGUUGCGUAGCUUCACUGUGGUGAGCUCUUCACAGUGUACACGACAUCAACUCGGCAAAUUGCGUUUUUUGAAUAUUCACAAUUUCUAUUUGUCAAUUUUGCCUCAGUAAGCGAGAGGGAAAGUGACACGCUGACCCUUGAGCACCAGGGCUGCACGGGACCGUCAAGGGAUCGGCGUUGGGCUGAAGGCCACAAGUGCACAUGCUAAUUCUGCUUAUCACACUCGGAACAAUUCGAUCACUUUCACAGCACGGCUUGUUUGGAAGACAAGCCUUUGAAAGAGUGUGAAUCAAGCAACAAUGCUGAAACUGCCUGGGAAGACUCAAAUUAGGAGCUACGUGCCUAAAGGACCCAAGUGGUGUGGGAACACACUGAUGUGGGCCUGGUGGUUACAGAGUCACCUCACGAAGGACUCAUCUUCAGCCUACUUCGCUGAAAACCAGUGGGUCCCUCAGGGACUGUCUUUCCCCUUCCAGAUGUGGAGAGCUAAAACAGCAAACUCAGCAGCCUGCCUGAGAUCUCACAGGAGUCCGGGGGCUGAAGUUGGCACCCAGCCUGUCUCACUGCAGACUCACCUUAUCCCUCUGCCCACACCGAUGUCUGGGGCAGAGGGAAGGUGCUGCCCCCGGUAUCUCUCACCACCCCCAAGGGACCAGGCCGGGGGACACUCCUAAGCUCUGCAUCUACCUCUUCCCUCUCCUAAGCUCUUCUACUGCCUCGCCCCAGGAGCCUGAAGCAGAGGGGGAUCCUCGACAAUGUGUGCCCCAGGGGCCCAUGACGUGGGGCCUCAGCAUUCUUAGGAGGUGGC